CUGGUGUUGGAGCCCUCUUUUUUCGGUUUUUCUCUAUUUUGUUUUGUUAAAAAUGUAUGACUCUAUAACUUUUAGACCGUGAGGCCAAACUUGGCAUGUGAUACCUUUUCGGAAAACCCAAAGAGAGCCUCUCCAAUGAAUGAGGAAGGAAAAUGGAAUACUUCUAUUGGUUUUUUUUUCUCCAAAUUUUGACCUAAAUGUACUUUUUCGGGGCUUUUCGUGAUCUUUGCUAUAUUACGGGGUGAAAAUUAUAUGUUCGGACAUUGGUUUACAGUAUUUUGCAUGUAUCUUUGGCUCUUAUAAAAAAAUAGGGUAUUCCUACAUAGCUGGUAGGACCCACGGCAAAUGGAUCAUAAAAUCUUCAAAAAAGAAUAGAUACGAUUGCAUUGCAUGUAGUAACAGAUGCGAUCAUACCAGCACUAAUGCAACGGAUCCCAUCAGAACUCCGCAGUUAAGGGGUGCUUGGACGAGAGUAAUACUAGGAUGGGUGAUCUCCCAGGCAGAAUCACUAGUGCGG
rnacentral:rRNA from 1 species